rnacentral:lncRNA from 1 species
CCCCUUCCCUUUCCUGAAUGUGACCUACCGAAUUAGACUAUUUACCGGAUUUGUUAUCACAUAAGCAACACGACGGGUGCCACAUGUGGAGCAGGAUCUACUUACCCUUCCGGAGCACCUGAGAUCACCCCUAGUUUUUUGGUGGGGUUCGUGUUGUUUAUUCUUUAGUUUUCUAUGUUGUGUCGUGUGUGCUGUUGUUUGUUUGUCUUUUUCAUUUUUAG